ensembl:lncRNA
AAAAUAUCGAUACGGCUGCGAACGUCUGUAUGUUAGUUGACGAACAAAGUUUGGAGAUGGUAAACAAAUGGACUUUACACGACGAUAUUCACAAGCUGGAAUAAUUUUAUGAAAAACCAUUUGGAUACUUUUGAUCAGUGGAUUCUCACGGACAAUUAGAAUAUAAAUAAUUGAGGAAUGGACACAUAUUACGGUUCUCAGAUUGCUUCAAAGGAGGAGGACAAGAUCCGCCCACGGCCACCACGACUGGAUUCCAUUUCGGAGAAGGAGAUGAGGCUGUAUCUGCCAUCACUCCCAUUGAUGCAGAUGAAGCAUUUACUGAUGACCUGGAGCCUGUGCCUUCAUCACGCAGCGACAUCACUGAUCAGAACCUGCUUUUCCAGAUGCAACCAAAGUCCAAAAAACAUAGGGGCACAUCCGAGAUUGUGACUGCACAAGGUUCAACAAAAUCCCAUCGCACUCAUUCAACUCCAAAAGACAAUACAAAAGCCCCCAUCGGCCAGGGGCAGGAUACUGAUUCAAGUGAUGAUGAUGUUUU